GUCAACCAUCUAAUUAUCAGCCAACCCUAGCCGCCCUCCUCUUCCUCAUGCGUCCAGCGUUGGCUGCUCCCCAGAUUGCAUCUCCUCUCUUUGUCUCGAUCUACUGCGUCCCGCCCAAUGAAGAAACUGUCUCCCUCAAUCCUUCUCUCAGGCCAUCUCCCUCAAUCCUUCUCUGAGGCCGUCUCCCACAUAGACUCCUUCAAGCCUCUCCAUCCAUGUGUGUCGAGCAAUCCUUGCUUUUCCCCAUGUGUCCAGCAACCUAUCCCUCCUCUUCCCCAUGUGUCCAGCGUUGGCCACUCCCCCAAUUGCACCUCCUCUCUGCAUCUCGAUCUGCUGCGUUCGUACCAGUACAUCCACGCCAUGGUCUUUCUCAUACUACGGUGGAGAAUCAGAUGGGCAGAUGACACCCAGUCUUAUUAUUUUUUAUUUGGGGGAUGAAGAAGACAAGGGAGAGCACACCAUACUGCUGGAGAAGAAUUAUUUAAUCCAUCGCUGCUGUUAGGACUCAUGCAUGCCCUCUUGCCGGAAAAACAACAGCAGCAGUUACCCCGGUAUGGCAUGCAAGCAAAGUACAACUUGAUAAUUUUGAGCUCUUCUUAUACUAUAUCAGCGAUGAUUGUGGCAACCCUACACAUAGUGAAGCAAUUUGGGAAGAUAACAUAGAGCUUUCAGUUGAGCGAUUUCUUAAGGCCCAGUAAGCAUGGGAUUACAUACAUAGCAUUUUUCCUUUUUCCAGGUGUGUAUGAUUUUCUUGAUUAAUCUUUCUAAAAAUAUGCCUCCUUUUCUUUAGUUGGUCUGAGGGGAAGGGGAUUCCUUCAAAUUAAAGAACAGAAUUAACACCAACACAAAUUCAAUCCCCAAUGUCUGCAGUUGAUCUGUUCCAUGCUUUCAACUGAGGUGCGGGACUCCAUACAUAAAUUUUAAGGUUCAAGUAAAUAUUAUAAUGGCACAUGGUUCGCCAAUUUUAAUUAUUUUUAUUCUACUCACACAUUAUGAUUUUUCCUUCGAUGAUUAACUUCACAUUGAAUUCUUUCUCAAGAAGUAACUAUUAAAUUUGUAUGAAAAAUAAAUUUAUUAAUGUUAUUAUUAUAUUCCACAUGGUUUUGCACCUAUAUACUAUGAUGGCACAAUUGGAGAAUCAUGUGUCAGUAACAAAAACCAAUUCAGGAAUCAUCAAUGGAAUAUAUUUCCUGCAGAGGCCAGCAUGUACAUGCGACUGCAUGCAUAUACAUGGUAGGUGUUGUUUAGGCGCAGCAUAUACAGUGGUAGCAUGGCAACCAGAGAUAGCGGCAGAGCUUCAUGGCUUCGAUGACCCCUGGCCCGUAAACCUACAAAGAACUUGCCGAAUAGCCGUACCUCUUUGAUGUCGUUGAGUUUCUCCUCGGUUGUCCAUUCCCAUCUCCACAGGCAAGUAGCCUGCCGUCAUUAUUUUAAUUUCCUAAUUUAUUUCCAGUCUAUUGGACUCACGAGGAAUCCCAAUAAAUUAUGUUGAUACCUGGCGUCUUAUAAAAAAGAAAUUCACCAUGUACGUGCCCAUCAAAUUCAGUCUAGACUUUAAUAUGUUGUGGAUAGGAGCCAAUUCAGUAAGUUGUGGCGCGAACAACUAAACAAUGGGUGUACGGAGCUCACUAAAUAUCUUACUUUAUUAGAAUUUCUACUAAUUCAUUUGAUUCCUUUCUUCUACGGUGUUUUAACUCCUAAUAAUCUUCUGACAAUGAAGUGGAGGACGAUGUGUAGUUCUAUCUCUAACGGUGAGGCUGUCCAGUGAACAAAACUGCAGCGUACUGGUGACACUGUGAUCCCAGCUCUAUUCUUCGUCCUUCAAAGAAAAUCCAUCACAGAAUAAAGAACCAUGCAAUCAGCAUAGUCCCUAAAUUUUUAUCAAUAAAAACUCGGUUCAGUACUGGUGGUCUGCAACUCUGCAUCCUCUUCAGUAGCACUAGGUAAUCUAUAUGCAGUAGAGACAGUUCAUUCUGAUGUUUAUGGAAAGCUUAAAUUAUGUGUUUCCGUGUUACCAUAUGUUAGCCAACAAAAUGAGUUGAUGUUGUGUUUCCAUGCUACACGUAUAUGUUUCAUUCAAGUAUGUUCUAAAUCUCCAGUUAUCUGCCUGGUACAUCUCUGACUAUCCUUUGUGUCAGAGUUAAUUAUGUGAAGGUAUGAUGAUUAGGAUCAAAUAUCCUUCGUGUCAAAGUUAUAUGUUUGUAUACUUUUUAUUAGAUCGGGUAGUUAGAUUUUAAACCGACUGGCCAUACAUGUAGCUCAAAUAGUAUUUGAGCUGCACAUGUUUCUUAGUUGCAUAUAUAGUUCUGUGAUGUAUGAAAAAAUGGAGUCAGAAUUCAGAGAUUAAAUAUGACCGUAAACAUGAAUGUUUUUCUUUCAUAUUGCUAGGCUGGGGAACUAUAUUUCUGAAUUUUGAGUAAUGGAACAACAUUUUUGUAUUGCAGCACUGAAUUUUGUUUAGAUGACCUUGGAGCUUUUCAAUAGUGCCAUGUACAACUUUAGCAAGAAGCAUCUUCUAUCUGGUGUUGUGUUCUCCAACUAUAUUUUUCCUAAUUUUUGGCUAGAUGCUGGAUGAAAUUCCUGCCGGAGAUUUUUUUAUUUCAUUACCAGAGAUACAAGUGAAAGUCGAAGGAGAAUCUAUGAAACGACCAUCGGGUUCUAUGAUAAAUUUGUUUGUGGGAGAGAAUGGUGCGUAGUCAGCAAUAACAAGCCCUGAUCAGCAGGGUCUGAGAGUGGCAUGAGUAUUUGGUAUGUUCUACUCUACAAGCAAAAAUAAAGCACAUUGGUAUUUCUGAUUAAUGUGAAAAUAACUUAUCAUUAUCUGUACUGGAGAUUUCAUUGGUUCUUACGGACAUUACCAUUGUAACUGCUAUUCUGAUAAAGGUGGUGGCGCCAAACCACUACAGAACAAGAAAUUUAAGGAUUGGUGGUAAUGUUA